ACUCCUACGGGAGGCAGCAGUAGGGAAUCUUCGGCAAUGGGGACAACCCUGACCGAGCAACGCCGCGUGAGUGAAGAAGGUUUUCGGAUCGUAAAACUCUGUUGUUAGAGAAGAACGUUAAGUAGAGUGGAAAAUUACUUAAGUGACGGUAUCUAACCAGAAAGGGACGGCUAACUACGUGCCAGCAGCCGCGGUAAUACGUAGGUCCCAAGCGUUGUCCGGAUUUAUUGGGCGUAAAGCGAGCGCAGGUGGUUUCUUAAGUCUGAUGUAAAAGGCAGUGGCUCAACCAUUGUGUGCAUUGGAAACUGGGAGACUUGAGUGCGGGAGAGGAGAGUGGAAUUCCAUGUGUAGCGGUGAAAUGCGUAGAUAUAUGGAGGAACACCGGAGGCGAAAGCGGCUCUCUGGCCUGUAACUGACACUGAGGCUCGAAAGCGUGGGGAGCAAACAGGAUUAGAUACCCUGGUAGGUCAGUC
rnacentral:rRNA from 1 species